GACGAACGCUGGCGGCGUGCUUAACACAUGCAAGUCGAACGGAAAGGCCCUGCUUUUGUGGGGUGCUCGAGUGGCGAACGGGUGAGUAACACGUGAGUAACCUGCCCUUGACUUUGGGAUAACUUCAGGAAACUGGGGCUAAUACCGGAUAGGAGCUCCUGCUGCAUGGUGGGGGUUGGAAAGUUUCGGCGGUUGGGGAUGGACUCGCGGCUUAUCAGCUUGUUGGUGGGGUAGUGGCUUACCAAGGCUUUGACGGGUAGCCGGCCUGAGAGGGGGACCGGGCACAUUGGUACUGAGAUACGGACCAGGCUCCUAUGGGAGGCAGUAGUGGGGAAUCUUGCACAAUGGGCGGAAGCCUGAUGCAGCAAUGCCGCGUGCGGGAUGACGGCCUUCGGGUUGUAAACCGCUUUCGCCUGAGACGAGGCGUGAGUGACGGUAAUGGGUAAAGAAGCACCGGCUAACUACGUG
rnacentral:rRNA from 1 species